rnacentral:lncRNA from 1 species
AAAACCAGGAGUGCCCAAGAUCUGUCAUCCUUCUCUUAAAUAAAGGUACUGAGCACAGAGAUUGUUUGCGUCAAUUAUUCCCUGAUUGUAUUGAAAGGCCCAAGUGAAAAAGGAAUGGGGUGUGCCCCAAAUUAUCUCUUCCACAUCUGUCAUCAUUGAAACACAUAAAGCAUAAAGGACAUAUUAAAGAUGUUGAGGAAAUCAAAAUUCUUGAUUUCCAGCUACACAUUUUCAAUGACAUCUUUUGGAUUCUUCAGGGUUCAGGCUCUUCUCUUAAUCUCCACCAUAAUGUUCAAUGGCAUAAAACCGUGGAUAAUUAAAGCAUAAAAUGUAUGGGUUUUAUUUUCCAGUUUUUUUUUCUUUUUUAAAAAAUAAUUUAAGCACAAAUACAGAAUAUGUUGAAUAUGAAUAGGUACUAUUUGCUCUCAAUACAAAAAUUAGAUGUCCAACUAUGGUCAAUUAAUACUUAAAGUUUCAGUUCUAUCCUAAGGAGCAGGAUAAUAAUAGAGCCUUCAUUUCCCCCCUCCCUCAUGUAUUCACAUCCACAUAAAGUUGUUGAAAUAAAAUAUUUGCUGAACCUAUCUUUUGAAAAAUAUGCAUAUUAAAAUUAUUGACAGUUGACUCUUGAACAAUACAUCUUUGAAUUGCAUGGAUACAUUUAUAUGCGGAUUUUUUAAAAGUAUAUUUGAGACAUUUUUUGAGACUUACAGCAACUUGAAAAACUUGCAGAUGAACCAUGUAAUCUAGAAAUGUUGAAAAACUUAUGAGAAAGUUUGGUAUGUCAUGAAUGCAUAAAAUAUAUAUGGACACUAGUCUGUUUGACAUUUUCCUACCAUAAAAUAUAUGCAAAUCUAUCACAAAAAGUUAAAAUUUACGAAAACGUACAUGCACACACACACUGUACAUGAUGCCAUUCACAGUGCAGAGAAAUGUAAACAAAUAUAAAGAUACAGUAUUUAAUCCUAACUGCAUAAAAUUAACUGAAGUCCCUCCUGCACUUCAACACCAAUUCCUGUUGCCAUCGUGCUGAGCUCAAGUGUUGUGAGUAUCUGUUUAAAACACGUGUAAGGCUUAUCACCUCCAUGUGCGCAUUCACCUCUCCGGUAAAUUGCAUAUCGCAGUAAAAAGUGAUCUUGUGCAGUUCUCAAGCAUCUUUCAUCAUGUGUAGAGUAAUACCAUAAGGCUUGAAUAACACCGUGGGACCCAUACAAAGCAGCACUAGUGAUGCUGGAAGGGCUCCCAAGAAGCAAAGUCAUAACAUUACAAGAAAAAGUUGAUGUGCUCGAUAUACCAUAGACUGCAGUGGCCCGCCGUUUCAAGAUAAAUGAAUCCAGCAUAAGAACCACUGUAAAGAAAAGGAAAUUUGUGAAGCUGGUGGCAGCUAUUCCAGCGGGUGUGAAAAACUUGCACUUUUUACAAAAUGCCUUUAUAUCUCAUAUUGAAAAUGCAGCUUUUAUGUGCAUGUAGGAUUGCUGUAAGAAUGGUAUACCCAGAGACCAGCAUCAAUUGAGAGAAGGUGAUGCCAUUCUAUGACAGCUGAAAGCAAAAAGAAAGUGAAAAAUCUAAAGGUGGAGAACUUAAUGCCAGUAAAGGAUGGUUUGAUCAUUUUACAAAGAGGUUUGGCUUUGGAAAAUCUCAAGAUAAUAGGAGAAGUAGCUUCUGCUGACCAUGAGGCAAAACAGACAAGUUCCCACCCACCAUUAAGAAAAUCAUUGAGGAUAAACAUUAUCUGCCUGAGCAUUUUUUUACGGUGGAAGAAAGUACCCUGUUUUGGAAAAAAACAUGCCACAAAGGAUGUAUAUUCGUGAGGAAGAAAAGGGAGUACCAGGAAUUAAGGCAUGAAAGAAUAGGCUAACUCUACUGUUGGGUGCAAAUUCACUUUUGUUUUUGGGCAGUGUCCCUGUCCAACUGGAGCCCCAGGAGUUCAACACUGAAGGCAUCAAAGUGGUCUACCUGCCUCCAAACAUAACAUCUCUAAUGAAGCCUUUAGAUCAGGGGGUCAUAGGACCUUCAAGGCUCAUUGUACAUGUGCUCUAUGGAAAGGAUUGUUAUCACCAUGGGAGAGAACCCGGAUAAAGAGAAUGUCAUAAAAGUCUAGAAGGAUUAGACCACUAAAGGUGCCUCAUCAUUAUAGAAGAAGCUAUGAAAGCCAUCAAGCCCAAAACAGUAAAUUGCUGCGGGACAAAACCAUGUCUAGAUGUUGUGCAUGACUUCACAGGAUUUAUGACAGAACGAAUCAAAGAAAUCAUGAAUUUGAUUUCAUGAGUUUGUGGAUAUGGCAAAAAAAAAAAUGGGGAUGAAGCAUUUCAAGAUAUAGAUCUUGGAGAAAUUCAAGAGGUAAUAGACACCACACCAGAGGAAUUAACAAAAGACGACCUGAUGGAAAUGAGUGCUUUCAAACCAGUGCCAGAUAAGAGGAAGAAGACAUAGACGCAGCAGUGCCAGAAAACAAA